rnacentral:rRNA from 1 species
AGCGAACGCUGGCGGCAGGCCUAACACAUGCAAGUCGAACGAACCCUUCGGGGUUAGUGGCGGACGGGUGAGUAACACGUGGGAACGUGCCUUUAGGUUCGGAAUAACUCAGGGAAACUUGUGCUAAUACCGAAUGUGCCCUUCGGGGGAAAGAUUUAUCGCCUUUAGAGCGGCCCGCGUCUGAUUAGCUAGUUGGUGAGGUAAUGGCUCACCAAGGCUACGAUCAGUAGCUGGUCUGAGAGGAUGACCAGCCACAUUGGGAGUGAGACACGGCCCAAACUCCUACGGGAGGCAGCAGUGGGGAAUCUUGCGCAAUGGGCGAAAGCCUGACGCAGCCAUGCCGCGUGGAUGAUGAAGGUCUUAGGAUUGUAAAAUCCUUUCACCGGUGAAGAUAUGACUGUAGCCGGAGAAGAAGCCCCGGCUAACUUCGUGCCAGCCGCCGCCGUAAGAC